AGUGAACGCUGGCGGUAGGCCUAACACAUGCAAGUCGAACGGCAGCACAGUAAGAGCUUGCUCUUACGGGUGGCGAGUGGCGGACGGGUGAGGAAUACAUCGGAAUCUACUUUUUCGUGGGGGAUAACGUAGGGAAACUUACACUAAUACCGCAUACGACCUACGGGUGAAAGCAGGGGAUCUUCGGACCUUGCGCGAUUGAAUGAGCCGAUGUCGGAUUAGCUAGUUGGCGGGGUAAAGGCCCACCCAGGCGCCGAUCCGUAGCUGGUCUGAGAGGAUGAUCGGCCACACUGGAACUGAGACACGGUCCAGACGCCUACGGGAGGCAGCAGUGGGGAAUAGUGGACAAUGGGCGCAAGCCUGAUCCAGCCAUACCGCGUGGGUGAAGAAGGCCUUCGGGUUGUAAAGCCCUUUUGUUGGGAAAGAAAAGCAGCAGGUUAAUACCCCGCUGUUCUGACGGUACCCAAAGAAUAAGCACCGGCUAACUUCGUG
rnacentral:rRNA from 1 species